rnacentral:rRNA from 1 species
GACGAACGCUGGCGGCGUGCCUAAUACAUGCAAGUCGAACGCUUCUUUUUCCACCGGAGCUUGCUCCACCGGAAAAAGAGGAGUGGCGAACGGGUGAGUAACACGUGGGUAACCUGCCCAUCAGAAGGGGAUAACACUUGGAAACAGGUGCUAAUACCGUAUAACAAUCGAAACCGCAUGGUUUUGAUUUGAAAGGCGCUUUCGGGUGUCGCGGAUGUAUGGACCCGCGGUGCAUUAGCUAGUUGGUGAGGUAACGGCUCACCAAGGCCACGAUGCAUAGCCGACCUGAGAGGGUGAUCGGCCACAUUGGGACUGAGACACGGCCCAAACUCCUACGGGAGGCAGCAGUAGGGAAUCUUCGGCAAUGGACGAAAGUCUGACCGAGCAACGCCGCGUGAGUGAAGAAGGUUUUCGGAUCGUAAAACUCUGCUGUUAGAGAAGAACAAGGAUGAGAGUAACUGUUCAUCCCUUGACGGUAUCUAACCAGAAAGCCACGGCUAACUACGUGCCAGCCGCCGCAGUAA